CCCUUAGAUGUUCUGGGCCGCACGCGUGCUACACUGAGUGGAUCAGCGGGUCAGGUUACGCGAGAGCGUUUCCUAAUCUUCAAAUCCGCUCGUGAUGGGGAUUGACGGUUGCAAUUUUCCGUCAUGAACGAGGAAUACCUUGUAAGCGCGGGUCAUCAUCCCGCGCUGAAUACGUCCCUGCCCUUUGUACACACCGCCCGUCGCUCCUACCGAUUGAGUGGUCCGGUGAGGCCUUGGGAUCUAAGCGAAAAGAGCGUUUCGCUCCUUUUGCUGGGAGAACUCAGUCGAACCUUAUCAUUUAGAGGAAGGAGAAGUCGUAACA
rnacentral:rRNA from 1 species